CCUUCUGUCCAAUUGCAUUUUGUUACAAGAUUUGCAGUUAGGUUCCUAAGAGUCCCUGGUUUCUCCCCACGUUAUUUUGUCGUCUCUCUGCUCAGCCAUUGCCCUCUGCCCUUUUGUGCCCUUUCAAAGGAGGGCUAAAGCUAUUGCUGCUGCGGUAUGGAAACAAAGUGCCUCCUAAUUGAUCGUUAAUACUGCUGGAGUGUGAGGAUGUUGGGAAUUGCUAGAUCAAGCCCAUUUACUCCAGCUUCUGGGUCAGCCCUUCAGAUGCUAUAAAUCAGAAUCCCUUCCUGCCUCCUUCACAGCUCAGUGUAGGUUUGCACCACAGAGGAGCUGGGUCAGGGGCUCUGCUCUGCAUGAGCACCAGAUCUCUGCUUCAGAAUAGUGGUAGUUUAUUUCCAGAAGCCUGAGAAUUAGCAGUUCUAGUACUGCUAUAAUUAUCAGCAAUUUAUGUGAUGGGGGGAGAAACAGAAGGCUUAAUUUUUCAGAAAGAAUACAGUUUAAAACAAGUUUUCUAAUCCUGUGAGAUGCCACAGAGUUACAUGAGUGGGCACAGUCUCAAUGGGUUUUCUAAGCCAGUAGAGGCCCUGCUUUUUUAACAAAAUAUCCUGUCCUAUGGGGGGUUUGACUUCAUUCAUGUGGGGAUUACUUAAGCCUGUCACAACUAUCAGUUCAAACCUUCUCUCCAGGCUUGGCUACUUUUCUUUCAUGAUUAGAGCAUUUUUUUUUUUUUUGACUGGGAGACCUCGCCCUAGUAUUUAAGGUGAGAGCUGAUGACUCAUAACCAAAAUAAGAAAUGAAGUGCCACUCCUUAUACCUCUCCCCAUUUGCUAGGAAAGCAGUAGGAAUUGCAUCAUCACUCAUUGCAGAGAGAAGCAUGAUCACUAUGGGGGGCAGCCCUCUGCAAAUAGUGAAAACCUUGAGGAUUUCUUAAUUUAAAAAUAAUCCCAUGGCCUGAGUGGUACCAGGUUUGGAGAUUCAUACAAGACUACCCAGGGAGCUGCAGCCUUGAGGAGGCUGGCAGAACCAGCCAGACCUGUGGUGGUUUGGUCAUUCGUCGGUUAGAACCAGAUUGUGUCUCAUCCACCUCGCCCUUCCCAGUGAAAGUGAGCAGAGGGAGGGCUGCACGUCCUAAUGAGAUAAUGACAGGACAGUCCCACACCCGACCCAAAUCCCUGACAGAAAUCAGCCUGUGCUGGGAAGAAUGACAGAGGAUGCUCUUUUGGCUCUUUCUUGUAGGAGCAUCUGUGGAUACAGCUCACCUGUUUCAGCAGAGGGACCUUUCUGGCUGAGCCUGUGCACUAUGUGAAGAGAGAAACAGAGCAGUUACAUAUUCCAGAUUCUUCAGGGAUUGAAGCACCAUUGGCAUGUACCUCAAGUAGAACUUCUGGUUUAGUUUCCUUCACAAGGAAUAUGAUUCAUAUGCACAAAAACAGCAAAGGAUAAAUGGGAAUGAUGGAGAGAUUUGCUGCAGAGCUGCUCUGCUCUCCUAAAUGCCAGCAUGGCUGGGGAUCCACUGGAAUGGAUUGUCAUCUAUUCAAGCACUGUUAAAGGACAACAAACAGACUUUGACACGGGACAGUCCUCUGACCAACCAUGAGACCAGACAAUAAUAAGGAAACAUGUAACUGACUCAUAAUGUUCAAAAGGAAGUUUUUGGAGAGGAGAGAGGAAGAGACAAGCAUACUUCAGUAGCCUGGUGGGGGGUAGUCUUCAGGAAAAAACUCUUGAGCCCUAAGGAAACUGUUCCAGAUGGAAAAGAAUCUGAGAGACAAAACAUGUAGGGUUCAUCUGAUAUGAGCUGGUUUAUUUUUGAGUCAUUCCAAAGAGACCAAGAAAAGAAGUGGUGUCUUUGCCCAUUUAUACUGAAAAGCAGUUAGAACAUGGAAGAAAACUCAAUAUGGUAUGAACUGCCACAGCUGUGACAGUGGAUGGGGGCUCCAGAGUCACUCUGUGGGGUGACUCAGCAUCUCAAAAUACUGGAUCAUGGUUACAUGAAGAAUUUUUAACAUCAGGAUAAAGCAAUGAGAAAAGGUUUUGCAUUUCUAAUUUAGUUAAAUUUCAGAUCCAGAUCUAUUUUAACAUUAUUUAAGCUUAAAAUAUUUGUGAAAAUGUUUAAUUUUAGCAAACUUCUACCAGAAAGGAAAUUAAAAGCAAAGAGAGGAUGUUACCACUUUUUUUUUCUCUUUGUGGGGAAAAAACCCAGAAAGAUCGUCUAUAGCUUCUUUUCCUACUCACAAAAUGAAAUAUGUCUAUGCAGAGAGAUUGAUCCAGUCUGGUUUUUUUUAGUUGAAAUGUACCCAGCAGUUCUCUGCAUGCCCCAUAUAUCCCAGCAAUUUAUUACAUGAUGUGAAAGUCAGACUCUCAGAAAAUAAAUACCUUGGAGCCAGCAGUAGCCAGAAGCUGAGGUGUCCAAAAAUGAGUAUUAAUCUGGAAGGAAAAGGGUGACUAACUGGAGACUUAAGAGCUGUGUUGCAGGGAUGUGUGUGGUUCCUGGAGAAGCUCAUGCUCAAAUUCUUGUGAAACACACCAUUUAGCACUCGCUGCUCUCCAGUCACAUUCUUUCACUUGACUGUUUAUAUUUACUCACCUUUUUCUGCCUUCUGAUCUUUGCCAUAGCUUUAUAAUUUUCAGUUUGCUUCACUAACAUUAAGAGCAAACAGUGUACGACCGAGUUAGACAUGGCCGGGGAAAUGACAAGGAACAUGGUGUCUGAGUCAGGCCUUAUCCUGAGGAGCCAGGCAAGAUUUUAGUUAUUUCAAUUGCCUUCUCUAUAUCCCUGUGGUGCCCCCCACUGAAGAUCACGAGAGUGAGGCGAGGCCUUUCUCUGUUACCAUGUUACCAGAUAGGAAACAUCUCCCCCAGCUGGGGAUGUGGGACUGGAAGGGGACACCCAAGUCAUCCCAAGUGACUCCUGCAAUGGUGAGGGAGAUAUUUAAUGACAGGAGGCUCCUCAGCAUGGUAACUCCACAUCCUCCACCAUGGAAAUGCUUCCUCAUGCUCCUCAGGAUGAAUAAGAACUAUCGUUUAAAAAAACCAAACCAAACCAAAAAAAGUGAAUACCCUGUGUCACUGCGGUAACAGAAGACUUACUGAAUUAAACUUCCCAGCCAUUACAGAGAGCAACAGUUUUCUGUUCCAUGUUACAGAAAAAGCAAAGGAAAAAACAGCUUUUAAUGGAACAGAAAUUUCUUAGUAAUACUGAGGAUGUGAACGGGAUACAUUGACCAGAUAACUUAAGGAAUGUAAUGGCCACAUCUUGGACCAAACAACUUUUCCUCUGAUCCAAAUACAUCUGCUACCAGAGAAGAGCAAUGACAAGCUGUCCUGUGUUGUGUGAAAUAACCUGUCCCUUGCCCCAAGAAAGGGAAGGGGAAAGAGGGUACCUAUAUAAUGCAAUGGUGUUCCAUCUGUCUGUCUUCUGUCCUGCAGUGCAAAGUCUGUUGCCAUUACUCCAUCAAAAUUAGAAAACAAAAGUCUAUGUGCAUUAAAUAUAUGCUUCUCUUACAAACUAUAGGUUGCAGAUAACCAUAGGAAGUGGCUGCAGUACUUAAUAAGUCUUUAGCUCUGUCAAAGACACCUAUGCUGAAGCAACUGUAGCUGCCUAUUAUCCUCUAAGAGCUGUUGAAGUCCUGUCUGUAUUUACAGGCUUUCGGUAACAAAACUGUGCCCUGUGGAUGGGGACCAGCUGCUAGUUCAGGGCACAGAACCCUCUACAAGCUGCUGGGGGUUGUGACUGGUCCUCUCUGUCACCCUUCUGAGCAAGGGUCAAGCUGUUGCCAAAUUGCUGCAUUUCUCCCAAAAAGACAUGGAUGAACAGACGAGAGGGAACACGCUGUUUUGUAAGUCCCACGCUGAUUAUUUUAAUGACCAUGAGCCCUUCUGGAAACCUUGUGGGGGGUAGAGAACAUCACAGAUGUGACAGGAGCCCAGCAGCUGACUAAACGCAGUCCUGGGGGACCCACUUACUCAUGGACUGAUGCAUAUGCUAACAACAGACAUCCCAUCAUCCUUACUGCCAUCAUAGUUGUAACUAUGAGGAUCCAAGGUAAACCCCAGCAGUUUUCAGCUGUAAUUCCCAGUCAAUGGGAAUUGUCCUGAUUAAACUAAGAGUGCAGCUCAUCGAGUAUUUGGAACUCCACUUAAAAGUAAAUAUUGACACAGUUUAAAGGGAUUAACUAAGAUGACUGGAUUCUUGUUAAAAACUUUUUGCGAGUAAAAAGAGCCUUUUACAAAGUCUUCACAGUGUUUUGAGAUGUCAUUUCCUGUGAUAAAAUGGAAAAAGGGGAAAACUUGUUUUAAAAGUAUAUGAAAAUCUCAUGUUCCUAAACACUUACCUUUAAAUGACCAACUCUUAAUAUAAUAGUGCUCAUAAAACUACACAUCAAGUAGCUCUGUGUGUGACUUAUUAAAGAACAGUGGAUGAUGCCACACUGCCAGCAAAGAGGUAAAUAGAUUACAUUUCCCAGACCCAUAUUCUUCACUGUAUGCAAACAACGUGAAGUGAUUGGUCCUGAAUUUUGUCUACUUUUAUUUCUCCUAAGUGCAGAACGUUUUGCUUCUCUUCAUCAGUCACUCUUGUGUAUACAAUAAUACCUGUAAUAUCAGCUACAGAAGAGAUUUAUAGGGAUGGAUGGAUGGAGGGAUGGAGGAAGGAAGCGAAGAAGGAAGCAAGGAAUAGGAUGUGGCCACAGUGCCUGCUCUCCAGGAGGAAGGCUGAGUGGUCCCCCCGGAGCCCAUGAUUAACCCAAAGCCAGAGAGGGAGGCUUUCCUCCUGCUCUGUGGUGGGAUAACCCCCACGGCAGCUCUGUGCCCGACCCCGUGCUUAUCUCCCGAUGGAGCUGGAGCCUGCAGUUUCCCCAGAGCCACUAUCAGU